rnacentral:rRNA from 1 species
UACGUAGGGUGCGAGCGUUAAUCGGAAUUACUGGGCGUAAAGCGUGCGCAGGCGGUUUUGUAAGCCAGAUGUGAAAGCCCCGGGCUCAACCUGGGAAUGGCAUUUGGGACUGCAAGGCUGGAGUAUGGCAGAGGAGACUAGAAUUCCUGGUGUAGCAGUGAAAUGCGUAGAUAUCAGGAGGAACACCGAUGGCGAAGGCAGGUCUCUGGGCUGACACUGACGCUCAUGCACGAAAGCGUGGGGAGCAAACAGG